AUGUACCGCCCAAGUACACUCCGGUUCCUGCGCUCCGGCCGCGCCCGCCUGACGGUCGCUCGUCACGAUUUCGAGAU
rnacentral:sRNA from 1 species